UGGGGAAUUUUGCGCAAUGGACGAAAGUCUGACGCAGCAACGCCGCGUGGGUGAUGAAGGUCUUCGGAUCGUAAAACCCUGUCGUCAGGGACGAAGGUUGUGUGUUUAAGAGAUGCGCAACUUGACGGUACCUGGAGAGGAAGCCCCGGCUAACUCUGUGCCAGCAGCCGCGGUAAUACAGAGGGGGCAAGCGUUAUUCGGAAUUAUUGGGCGUAAAGGGCGCGUAGGCGGUGGUUUAAGUGAGAUGUGCAAUCCCCGGGCUCAACCUGGGAACUGCAUCUCAGACUGGAUCGCUAGAGUGCUGGAGAGGGUGGUGGAAUUCCACGUGUAGCGGUGAAAUGCGUAGAGAUGUGGAGGAACACCAGUGGCGAAGGCGGCCACCUGGACAGUAACUGACGCU
rnacentral:rRNA from 1 species